rnacentral:lncRNA from 1 species
GUUUUUAACUGCUGAGCUUUUUCUCCAAGUCCUCAAAUUGCGUUUUUAAUCUGGUGAGUGAGUGGCUUGCCACCAUAUACCAGUAGAGGAAGGAGUUAAAUGGCGGUGAAAAAAAUAGGUAAUGAUUUAUCUUUCAUCUGCCAUAAAUUCUAAAAGCUUUCUGGAGUCUCCCUCAUUUUGGGCCCAUUGUCAUUUGUUUUAGGAUCUAAAGAAUGAAACUAACUGGAUAAAUAAUUCUGUGCAAUGGAGUAGAGUCGUCUUCAUGUUAUUUGAGCCUGAAUGUGCGUGCAUAAUUGGAGAGAUUAUUGGAGAGAGAGAGUGUUUUGCUGUGGUAGAUGUGGUUUCAAUCCUAGCGUUGAGCAUAGCAUUUAGUUUCUCAGCUUACCCACAAAAUCUGUGACUAAUUUAGUGAAUGUGAAGAUUUUUGUCCAGAUGGUUAGGUUUAAUUGUAAAAACUGGAAAGAUUUCAAAGUACCCUUUGGGGGAGUGUGGGAAAUGAGUAAACAGCAAGAAAGAAUUAAAAGUAACGAUAAAUCACCAAAUAUAGAAUAUAUGUAUAUUUUAUAUUUAUAAACACACACUCAUAUAUACUUAAACAUACACAUAUAUUUAUAUACAGGCAGGGAAAAGCUUAAAGAAUUGAUUAUAGCAGCACGAAGGUAGAGGAUCUAGAAAGAUGAGUGUGUUCUGCGUGGUUAGCUUUCCCUGAGCUCAGAACAAGCUUGGUCACAAAGGCGGUGGAGUUCAACUUCCUCGGCACUGGCUGGACAUGGUUAAGGUCAUUAGUUAUUAACUCACUAGAUGCUGAAGUGGGUUGUGCUCUCUCCCCUGAGACUUGGCUUAGAAGCCCAGGCCUGCAUGUUCCGUUCACAAUGCAGCUGUGUAACCCAGAGAGGUAGGAAGUUUGAUUUUUAGCACCCAUUUCUUCUUCUCAAUUCCUUCCUGUGAUAGCCAUGCCAGAAGGUGUAAAACAAUUGUAAGGAUGCUCUCCCAACUAUUUAAGAGCUCCUUCUCUCUAUCCCUAUCCCUUCUUAUGGGGUCGGGGGCUGAAAACACAGACGUUGCCUCUUUUGUGCUUUGCAGUCAGGAUACUGAUGACCUAAACCUUGACCUCAUAAAUUAUCUUUCUCUUUCCCAGAAAAUUUUCUUUGAAGUUGGUAGCCUAAUAGAUUCUAUACUGAACUCUUUUUUUUGUGUGUGUGUGUGUGUGUGUGUGUGUGUGUUACCUAGAUUUAUAGGGAGAGAAAGAAGUGACGUGCCAAUGACUUCAGGAAAUAUCUAGACAAAAGGGGAGGCCACAAGGCUAUUGACAAUAUCUGCUGUGUAAAGUGGGCAUUGGCUGUGGAAAAUGGUCCCUAAGGAAGCAACAGAAAUGUAUCCAGACAUCAGAGAGUGUCGAGGAGUGAGCUCUGUGAGCUAAAUCGAUGUGCUACAUUUACCAUAUACCAAUUGCUUUCAUAAGAGACUGGGGCUGCUUUGCAUGAAUGGAAGGUUUGAGAGAAAAAGAAAACACCACCACCAAAAACAAACAAACAAACCAGAGGCCUGCCAUAUUGGGACGGUGUUUUUCAGGUUCUGAAAAGACAUGUCUAAGAGGAGUCAAACCAUGAGAAGACAAUCCACAGAAUCAUCUAAGCAUGGCUCAUAAGGUCUCCCAGAAAUGGAAGCAACAAACAGGCUCUAUGGGUCUGAGCUAGGUCCUCUCCAUAUACCUUAUGGUUGCGUAGCUUGGUGUUUUUGUGAGACUCCCAACAGUUGGAGUGGGGGCUGUCUCUGACUCUUUUGCCUGUUCUUGGGACCCUUUUCCUCCUACUGGGCUGCCUUGCCCAGCCUUGAGAUUACAAUUUGUGCCUAGUCUUACUGUAUCUUGUUAUGUCAUGUUGGGUGAAUAUCCUGGGAGACCUACUUUGUUUGUUUGUUUGUUUAGGGAAACAGAGGAAGUGUUGGUGGGGUGGUUAGCUCGGAGGAGUGGAGGGUGUGGUAGUCACUAGGAAUACAACGUUUAAGAAUGAAAAAAGAGAAGUUUGGAGAGAGAGCUUUCUGUGUGGGAGUAAGUUUAAGUCUCCUAGGCUGCUACACCAAUGGCAUUGGAGAGCAAGGUUAACUGAAGGUUCUCUAUCCUGUAACAAGGAAGUGCUCUUUGCCUUGCUCCUCUUGGCUAAAUUCCU